rnacentral:tRNA from 1 species
AAAAAACAAAAAAGAUGAGCCCAAUGCGGGGCUCGAACCCGCGACAACCAGAUUAAGAGUCUGGUGCUCUACCGACUGAGCUAACCGGGCGGCGA